UCUUAUUCCACUGCUAUUGAUGAUGUUUUGGAGUAUAGGUAAAGUCCAGAGCUGAUGACAUGCUAAGGAGGACCUACAAGAUACUGGAAGCCUUGCCAUUGUCAAGUUAAAGAUUGCUUUUCCCUCUAGCAAGAAAAAAAUUAUUUGUGAAGAUCACCAAAGGAAUAAAUUUUUUCAUCCAAAAAUAAUCCCACAUCAGCCAUCUUACUGGAACCUGGCAAUUACAAACAGGAAAUAUUCACUCAAUAGUGUGCCUGGAAAUCACCAUUCUAUUAUCUGCUUGAGUUUGUUUCAGAUUCCACAUGUUCCCCCUCCUCCUUUUACCUUGGAAAAACAGACGGAUGACUGGACCCUGGACAGAAAACUUCUGAUUAUGGAGAAGAGCUGAGGAAAUGUCAAGAAAAAGGUAACUAAGCAUCAUCAUGAUGUUCCUGCUGAGAGUCUUUGCCAGGAAAUUGCUAUUGGGGAUCAUAUAACAGAGUAGAUGAGAAGCCCUGGAGUGUGGAGAGCAUCUCUGAAGAUAGACUUCAUCAUUUUGCCUAAGGUUAAUUCCACUCUGAGAGUAAAUCCACAGUUAAGACAACUAUUUUUAUGGCUUCAUGUUUUUAACCACUGCAAUUUAACGAAAUAGCACUGGUUUGUGCCUAUACCCAAAUGUUUUACCACUGUAGAAUAAUUUGUAUAGUAAAAAUAAAUGCAAUUUUGAAAUUCCAUGAAUUUUUGGUGGCAGGCUAGAAACUUAAAUGGCAUUAUU